GUGCGUAGGCGGCUUCUUAAGUCGGAUGUGAAAUCCCUGAGCUUAACUUAGGAAUUGCAUUCGAUACUGGGAAGCUAGAGUAUGGGAGAGGAUGGUAGAAUUCCAGGUGUAGCGGUGAAAUGCGUAGAUAUCUGGAAGAACACCGAUGGCGAAGGCAACCUCCUGGGCCUGUUUUGACGCUGAGGCACGAAAGCGUGGGUAGCAAACAGGAUUAGAUACCCUGGUAGUCCACGCCCUAAACGAUGUCGACUGGUUGUUGGG
rnacentral:rRNA from 1 species